AUCUAUAGUCUCCAACUAUCUCCUUUCACCUUGACCAAAAAAAAAACAGAUCUUCCACCCGUUGCUCCUCAGUCCUCACUCGGCAUCUAUACCUCACAUCUUCGGCAAUUCUCCUCUCUCUCUUUUUUUUCCUUAACAAACAAGGACGAGGAGGUGCUUAUUUGAUUGAUCCAGAAGGAGAUCUUCAGCGACUCUUACAACGCCAAAAUUUAGGCGUAAAAUAGAAGUUUUCCUCACCCUUCAUUACUCGCGUAGCUCCAUCUUUAAGCCUUAAUUUAGUUGCUGCCAGACGCGUCACCCUGCAAUCCCCUUUGAAGCAACAGCGCCCCUCGAUUCGCCACAAGAGCAUUAUUAUCUGAAGCGUUCAACACUCUGUCACGUACGGUCUGUCACGUACGGUUCGUUAUACUCUAUUCUCC
rnacentral:lncRNA from 1 species